GUGGGGAAUAUUGGACAAUGGGCGAAAGCCUGAUCCAGCCAUGCCGCGUGUGUGAAGAAGGUCUUCGGAUUGUAAAGCACUUUAAGUUGGGAGGAAGGGCAGUAAGUUAAUACCUUGCUGUUUUGACGUUACCGACAGAAUAAGCACCGGCUAACUUCGUGCCAGCAGCCGCGGUAAUACGAAGGGUGCAAGCGUUAAUCGGAAUUACUGGGCGUAAAGCGCGCGUAGGUGGUUUUGUAAGUUGGAGGUGAAAUCCCCGGGCUCAACCUGGGAACUGCCUCCAAAACUGCAUGACUGGAGUACGGUAGAGGGUAGUGGAAUUUCCUGUGUAGCGGUGAAAUGCGUAGAUAUAGGAAGGAACACCAGUGGCGAAGGCGACUACCUGGACUGAUACUGACACUGAGGUGCGAAAGCGUGGGGAGCAAACAGGAUUAGAUACCCGUGUAGUCC
rnacentral:rRNA from 1 species